CAGGCAGUGAAACUACUAUGACACUGUACUGCUUAUAAUGUCAGGGAAAUGGAGAAAACAGCCUUUUUCAUUAUUUCCAUGACGACAGGUAAUGUUUGAUUCCCAUACUUCAAAAUAACAAGGAUACAGGAAUCUUAAACAGGUGUUUGAGUCUGCUCAUAGCAACUGGUCUGGAAGAACAGGAAGUACAGGAGGAAAGUCCUGAGCCCAGAGGCAAUCUUUCAAUAAAAUGUCUGAAACUGGACAGUCAGGGUUUGAAAUUUGUGUUUCAAAUACAUUGAAGGAAAUUCUUAAACAUCACUGAAGACUGCUGACAUCUUUCACUCAAAGGGUGCUGAAAAAAAGGUUCUGACUACGUCAGUCAAAAAUAAAAAUAUUUUUAAAAUGGGCAGCUG